rnacentral:lncRNA from 1 species
CAGACACAAAGCUUUUUAAUGAGGGAUGGAGACACUCCUGCUCCCCUGUCCCAUCGGAUAACAGGCUUCAAUACUCAGCCAACUCCACAGCAGCUCCACAUGCAGGACAAAUACAAAGAAGACCUGAAGCAGCAGGUAGGUGCAGGCGUGUGAAUACUUUUUAUUGUCUACAAAUACAAAUACAUGUAACUUGUCAUUGCCAACAGAUGGAGGAAAACAAGCAGAAGCAGACGAAGGCGGCCGAGAAAACGAGGAUAGAGGAGGAGAAAGAAGAGAGGAGGCUGGCGGACCAAAGGGCUUGCAUACUGCGGGAAUAUGAGGAGGAGCAGAGCAAGCAAAAGAAGAUUCAGCAAAGGCUGAAAAACAAAGACCGAGUCCUUGAAGUGAACACUGAACACAAGGAGGAGAAGAAGAGACGGGAACAAGAUGUGGAGGAGAAAGUGCCCGAGAGGGACGGAGAGGAGACAAAGACACAG